AUUGAACGCUGGCGGCAGGCCUAAUACAUGCAAGUCGAGCGAGCGGCGGACGGGUGAGUAAUGUCUGGGAACCUGCCUGAUCGACGGGGAAAACUACUGGAAACGGUAGCUAAUACCGCAUACCAUCAGAUGUGGUCAGAUGGGAUUAGCUAGCAGGUGUGGUAAUGGCUCUCCUAGGCGACGAUCCCUAGCUGGUCUGAGAGGGUGACCAGCCACACUGGAACUGAGACACGGUCCAGACUCCUACGGGAGGCAGCAGAGGGGAAGGUUGGAGAAGGGGCGCAAGCCUGAUCGAGCCAUGCCGCGUGUGUGAAAAAGGCCUUCGGAUUGUAAAGCACUUUCAGCGAGGAGGCGUUACCCAAAGGAGAAGCACCGGCUAACUCCGUGCCAGCCGCCGCGGUAAUAC
rnacentral:rRNA from 1 species